ensembl:lncRNA
CCUGGCUAUUGUCUGCGCACCUGGGAGUGGGGGGACCUGCAGCCCCCUGACCACCCAUCCAUCCACCCAUCCACCCAUCCCUCCAUCCACCCAUCCCUCCAUCCACCCAUUCAUCGAUCCCAUCCUACCGCAUCCCAUCCACCCAUCCCAUCCCGCUGCAUCCCACCUGUCCCCGCAUCCCGUACUGCUCCCGCGGUACCGGGGCUUUCCAAGCCGGUCCGUGCCCAUGCCAGUGCCGACCUCCCACCACCGCAGCGGAUCCCCCAAGGCACCCAUCUUCCUUGUAUGCCAGCCUCGUGUGGGAACUGGGUGUCUCCAGCGUGGCAUCUCCUCAUCCCCAGUACAUCCCAUUCGAUGCCAUGUACCCGGAGAGGGUGCUGCUGGGUGGUGCUGGGUGCUGCAGGAGCCACGGUGUGUGGCAAAGGAGCAGGGAGAGAGGGGCUGCCCAUCACCUGGGGGCAAGGACCAGCCCCCAGUGUCUGUCCCACUGUCCUCCCAGCCCCAACAGGGUGAGCAGCAGGUAAGUGCCAUCAUUCUGGCUGCAGAUUUUGGUGUCACUUGGAUGUGCAGGCAGGGAAUGGGGUAGGAAAAGGGUCUGGGAGCAGCUCAGAAUGGAGAUGUGUGCAUGGAGAUCGGCGUGUCUACUCCCAGGGAGAGGAAGGGUUCAUCCUUUCCCACAGGAUGUAACCCAGUGGGGGCCAUGCAGAUGGUCCUGCUCCUCAGCAGCUCCCAUCGAGGGCUUGUGCAGGUCCCCACAUCCCAAGUCCACGGGGGCUGCGUUGGACCCCACCACCAAAGAGGCAGCAGCCUCGUAAUGGGAACAAGGCAUCCCAAGACCACGAGAUUCUGCAGUUUGGUCUUGAGAAACAGGGCCAAAUCCAUUGUCCAGCCAAGGACGAGCCCAGCAGAGAGAAGCUGGCUCCCUGCGUCCUGGGAUACAGAAAAGCGAUGGUAGAAGAUAGUGAGAGCUUGGGCUGGGCCUGGGUUUGGAGUGGAAG